GAUUUCUGGCUUGACGCGCUUGGCCCGCCUCGGUUACGAGUGUGAGUGCUGAUGCGCGUCUGCCAUCCUUCCAGAAAACGGUGUCUCCCUUUACUGGGUUGGCAUCGCGAUCUGGAUCUAUUACUUUGAAAAAAUUAGAGUGUUUAAAGCAGGCGUUUGCUGUGAAUACAUUAGCAUGGAAUAAUAAUUUAGGACUUUGGUCUUAUUUUGUUGGUUUCUAAGGCUGAAGUAAUGAUUGAUAGGGAUAGUUGGGGGUGCUAGUAUUGGCCGGCCAGAGGUGAAAUUCUUGGAUUCGGUCAAGACUAACUUAUGCGAAAGCAUU
rnacentral:rRNA from 1 species